rnacentral:rRNA from 1 species
GUCUUUUAGAUUAUAAUUUAAAGUCUGGCCUGCCCUAUGAAAAUUUAAAUGGCCGCAGUAUUUUGACUGUGCAAAGGUAGCAUAAUAAUUAGUUUUUUGAUUGAAAGCUGGAAUGAAAGGUUGAACGAAAAAAUAUCUGUCUCAAUUUAAUUUAAUUAGAAUUUUAUUUUUUAGUAAAAAAGCUAAAAUAAUUUUUAAAGACGAGAAGACCCUAUAGAGUUUUAUAUUUUAAUAUUAUAUAUUUUAUAGAAUUUUUUUAUAAUUUUAAAUAUUUUAUUGGGGUGAUAAGUAAAUUUAAAUAACUUUAUUGAUUUUUUACAUUAAUAUAUGAUUGAUUGAUCCAUAAAAAUGAUUAAAGAUUAAAUUACCUUAGGGAUAACAGCGUUAUUUUUUUUUAGAGUUCUUAUCGAAAAAAAAGAUUGCGACCUCGAUGUUGGAUUAAAGUUUAUUUAUGGUGUAGAAGCUAUAAUAUUAGGUCUGUUCGACCUUUAAAAUUUUACAUGAUCUGAGUUUAAACCGGUGUGAGCCAGGUUGGUUUCUAUCUUAAAAUAAAUAAAAUAUUUUAGUACGAAAGGACCAAAUAUUUAUAAAAUUUAUUAGAUUUUGAAUAC